rnacentral:rRNA from 1 species
UUCAGAGGUGGCUAGCGUUGUUCGGAUUCAUUGGGUGUAAAGGGUGCGUAGGCGGUUUGGAAAGUCAGAUGUGAAAUCCUACAGCUUAACUGUAGAACUGCAUUUGAAACUUCCAAGCUAGAGUAUGGGAGAGGUGAAGGGAAUUCCCGGUGUAAGGGUGAAAUCUGCAGAGAUCGGGAAGAACACCAGUAGCGAAGGCGCUUCACUAGCCCACAACUGACGCUGAGUGCACGAAGGCGUGGGGA